rnacentral:lncRNA from 1 species
UUUGGAUGUGAUGCAGUUGGUAAUCAAACUUCAUGUAGUUGGUUACCAAAUCAUUUGAUAAGGUAACCAAUUCAGUUUUAUUAGCUUACUAAUAUAUUUUGAAUGUGAUGCAGUUGGUAACCAAAAUUUAUGCAGUUGGUUACUAAACCUUCCGAUAAGGUAACCAAUUUAGUUUUAUUAGGUUACUAAUUUAUUUUGGAUGUGAUGCAGUUGGUAACCAAAUUUCAUAUAGUUGGUUACCAAACCAUUUGAUAAGGUAACCAAUUCAGUUUU